rnacentral:misc_RNA from 1 species
GAAUAAGAAAGUGUACAGCUUAAUGGAAAAAGAGAUGGAUAGUUUGUGGAAUUUCGUGAAUAUUUUUUGUGAGACUAUCAAAAAAAAAAACGAAAUGUUUGAAUCACCUUACAGGAGAGAGGACCCCAUGGGAUCCAUCUCUCUAUUUCUCUCCCUGUACUUUUUUAGCUAUUGUAUAUAAAUGGGCAACUCUGUUGUAUAGAAAUGGGGUCAUUGCUUUGCUUUUUGCAGUGAAAGGGUGGCAUUGUGCAGGAAGACUUAAGACGUGAAAAGCAGAGAAAGCAUGAGAA